GUAUGGACUCUGAUAAAACCACCUCUUCAAGCAAAGAAUUCCAUAUCCUUAUAGUUUUUACUGUAAAAAAACCCAAAAAACUUUUCUUUGCCUUAGACUAAAUCUCCUUACUUUCAGCCUAAAUGUGUGACCUCGAGUCCUAUGUAUAGUCCUGUUUAUGAAUAGAUGUCCAAAUAAUGGUUUGUACUGGCCCCAAAUAUAUUUGUAUAAUGUUAUCAUAUCCCCUCUGAGGCGCCAUUUUUCCAAACUAAAGAGAUUUAAAUUUUUUAACCUUUCUUCGUAACUAAAACGCUCCAUUUCUUUGAUCACUUUUGUAGCUUGUCUCUGCACUUUUUUUAGUGCCAUGAUAUCCUUCUUUAGAACAGGUGCCCAAAAUUGCACAGCAUAUUCAAGGUGU